rnacentral:lncRNA from 1 species
AAGCAUAUACACCUUACUCAUAUUCUUGACAAGUCAAAAUUCAUGACCUAUGUAAAGGAACUUCAAGAAUAAAGAGUUUGAUCUGGUGUUGUUGAUGGCUUACAACUGUGGAGGAGUCUGUCCAUGUGGUGUUUGAUGAAAUCAUUCAUAGUGAUCAAAGUUCUACAAAUGUUUAUGCAAAAGAAGAUGAGCAGAACAUCACCUUGGAGAAGCUGGAAUCCUGUCCAUAAAAACAACCGAUUGAUUCUGCGAAACAACCGGUUGAAAUUUUUCAACAGGAAGAGUUGCCAAAGGAAUGGAGAAUUCCAAGGGAUCUUUCAGUGGAGAACAUCAUUGGAUGGAAAUGGGUUUUCCGAAACAAGUUGGAUGAAUCUGGAGUAAUUACAAAGAACAAGGAAAGGCUUGUGGUUAAAGGUUAUAAUCAAGAAGAAGGCAUAGAUUAUGGUGAAACCUUUGCUUCAGUUGCAAGAUUAGAAACUUCUAUGUUGAACAACCACCGGGCUUUGAAGAUCAUCAACAUCCUAACCAUGUAUACAAGCUGAAAAAUGCCUUGUAUAGGCUUAAACAAGCUCCAAGGCAGUGUGGUAUGAGAGGCUUAGUAACUUGUAUAUGUUCAUCCUUUGUAAAGUAAGUUGUAUAUGUUCAUCCUAUGCUUUUGGCUUCAUAAGAUCAAAUGAGAUUCUAAACAUGCUUGAGGUAAUGCAAAGGUAUGAAUGUAUUUCAUUAUGCAUUUCCCAUGACUUUGAAAGAUGAUUUGCUUUGAAAUAUAACAUUUUUUUCGCUGUCUCAGAAAAACAACCGAUUGUGUUACCUCUGGCACAUUUGAAUAAAGUUGUUAUGAUUUCUUAUGCAUGAUUACAACUGUUUAUUUUCUUUCAUAACCCAUUAUGAGUCAAAUAUGCAUUCUUUGUGCCUCUGAAUUAGAUCAUAAAGAGAUGUAUUCUUUGUUUUCCUUGAAAUUCAAAGCUUUUUAUGAAUGGCAACCACAUUGGUGGUCAUGGGGUUGAUGAAUAUUUGCAAAUGUAUCUUUUGGAAUGUCUGGAAGAUAGGGGAGAAAUUGUGGUCUCCUUGUUGAAAUUUCUGGGGUCUAUGGUACUUUGAUUCUGCUGCUGUCAUAGCUCUGAUAAACCAUAGAUUUUGCUGCAAUUCUGAUAUGGUAUCAAAGAUUUAUUGCUGAAAUGGUGUUCCUACAACACACAGGUUUUCUGGUUUAUCAUGUUGCUGCUAUAUGCUGGUUUUCAAUGCUGGAAAUUCUGCUGUUUGUAUCCCUUCUUUCAUUCUAUUUGAGAAGACAAAUAGGGGGAGAAUGGUGUGGUUUUAUGUGUUGUGUUGCUGCUGCUACACUAUGGUGUUAUCUGGUUUUAUCAUGGUUUAAAUUUUGUUGUCGUUAUGCUCUUAUUCACCAUAGUUCUGCUGCACACAAGUCUCUUUUUGGCACUGUUUUUAUGGUUAUUUGACUUAUUUUUCUACUUAAAGACUUAUGCAGAAAACUGGUUUUGUGUGCCUUGGUAUCCUGUUGGUAUACUUGCUUUGUAUAUGCACAAAUUCUGUUUCGCAGGACCUUUCAAGUUCAAAAACAACAACACAAACAAACAAGGGAUUUGUCUUCAUCAAAUAGAGGGAGAUUGUUGAACAAGAUGCUUUGAUGUCUCCAAAUCCAAGAGGAAAGCUUGAAGACCUUGCUGCUGGGUGUGUGUAUGUUGUCUAGUUAUUUGAAACUUGUUAAUUAACUCCUUAAGAUGAUCCAAGUUCAUUUCUGUUUUACCUUAGCAGUUUUUGAAAAACUUGGUGGACUUUGCUGUCAAACCAAAACAAUCGAUUGUUUCGACAAAACAACCGAUUGUUUUCCUGAAAACCUUAACAGAAUUUUGUUAAGUGGUUUUAAUAUGUUUUAAAUGAUCCUAACUAACUUGGCUCCUUUAUUAAAUGCUUUUGACCACUUGGUUGGUCUAUAUAAAGGUGGUUUUACGCUCCUAAUCUUGGAGUAACAGAAAGAGUUUAUCAAAACAGUUUUUCCAAGAUUUGAAAGAGCUUUGGAUCAUUCUUAAGUGUGUGAAAUAGGAUUGGGUUGUAAUUCUGAACUUUAAGCUUUGUAAUACCCAGGUGUAUUCUAUUCUCUUCUUCCUUGAUUACUGUAUUUCUGUAGUUGUGUUGCCAAGGAGUGUUGUACGUUCUUGAGGUGUUCAAGAUCAACAUUCUUGGUGUGGUUUGCCAAAGGUAGUGUGUUUCUUGAGGGGUUCAAGGUGACUACUUUUUUGUGUGUGGUGUGUGUAAUCUGGUUUUGAUUGCAUAGUGGAAUACCCAAUGGUUUCUAGGGACUGGAUGUAGCUCUUGGUGUAAGAGUGAACCAGCAUAAAUUGCUUACGUGCUUAUCUUUUACCCUUAACUCUUUAAAUUUUGUUUUUAAGUUGUUUUUAUAAAUUGCUGAUAAAAACAGCCGAUUGUUUUUCUAAUAUCAUCUUAAAACAGUUUUGGGUAUUUGUUUCCUUGAUUCUUUUCUCUGUAAUUCAGCAUUGAUUUUCAUUAUACCUUCAAAGUUUGCGAAAAUCCCUCUUAAACAAUUCACCCCCCUCCCCCCUCUCGUUUAAGGCCAUAUAUUCUAACACCCUCAAAAUCAAACAGAACACAACAAAGCAAACCAGGGAUUUGUCUUAAUGAAACAGGGGGAGAUUGUUGAAGAAGAGCUUUGAUGACUCCAAAUCUCCAUGGAUUGCUUUAAGGUUGAUUGUAGCUUAGUUGGGUGUAUUGUGGGGUAGUUUGAAUUUAUUAAUUAGGUCUUAGUUUGAAUCCAAAAGCUGGUUUAAUUCAAAUCUUUUUAAAAAAGUGUUUUAUGAAGAAAUAGAAAAACAACCAGUUGUUUUAUCGUUUCAAUCAGUUGUUUCAUACUUAAUGUUUUUGAAAUUGGUUUUGCCAGAUUUGAACUUAGUUGACUUUGCUCUCAAACCAAUUCAAUCGGUUGUUUUGACAAAACAACCGACUAUUUUUUAACUGCCUUAACAAAUUUCUAUUAAGUUUGUUAAAUCUGUUUUAAAUGAUUUGAAUUUGAUUUGGCUUUUAUAAUAAUUGUUUUUAACUGCUAAUUGGAGUAGAAAUGUUCUGUUAUACGCUCCUAGCAGACAAGGUUACAAGAUCAGUUUUUGAAAUCAAGUUUUCUCCAAGAUUGCUUAAGGCUUUGGAUAUUUCUCUAAGAGUGAAGUAGGACUUGUUAUGUACUUUGAUUUGAUUUGUACCGAGUGUGAUCAAUCCUAUUUCUUCUUGAUUUGUACUUUUGUAAAACAAUUGUUCACAGAGUCAGAGGGUGUUCUGAACUGUGGUGUGAUUGUGGUGUGCCAAAGGAAUUGUGUGUUCUUGAGGGGAUCAAGAUCACUUUUUUGGUGGUUGUGUGUUUGUAAUCUGGUUUUUGAUUACUUAGUGGAUACCCAGAGGUUUCUAGGAACUAGAUGUAGCUCUUUGUAUAAGAGUGAACCAGUAUAAAAUAUUGUUUGUGUGAUUCUUUCUCUCCCUUAUCUCUUGUAUAUCUAUUUUUAGUUGUUUUUACACUCUGCUGAUAAAAACAAUCAAUUGAAUCGCAAAAACAAUCGGUUGAAUUUCUGAAAAUCAACUAAAACUCUUUUCUAUCUUGUGUUCUUUGAUUCCUUUGGUUGUAAUUCUUCUUUGACUUUCUUCAUACCUUCAAAACUUUCGAAAAACGUUUGAAAACAUUUCACCCUCUCUUGUUUAAGGCCUACAAUUCUAACACUAGUUUCUAGAAAAACAAGCCUAGGGUGCGGGUUUGACUUAGUAAAACCCUAAGGCUGCCCUUUUUUUAGUGUUUCUCAUCCUACCUUUCAUGCUUGUUCUCCAAGGCUCCUUCACCUAUAAAUAGGAGACCUACAUCAUUUUAUUUUACAAGUUGAAUUUGAAUAAAGUAAAGAAACUCUGCACAAAUUGUGUGAGCUCUUAGUGAAGCUUAUGUCCUCUUAGGUUUGAGGUCUUAUCUUGAGUUAUUGGGAAGCUCUCAAGUGACGGCCAACACACUCAUCUUGGAGCACAUCACCCUCCAAGUGGCGUGACAUUUCUCACCCACCAUCAUAAGUUUUCUUAUUCCAUUUUCCUUCCAUUUCUCGAUUCCAUUUUAUGUGUUUGUCUCUUAGUUUCUCUUCUUUGUUGCUCUUGGGUUUCACUCAUAAUCAUGAGUAUGGUGCAUCAUUUGGGAGGCCAUGACCACCAUUGAUGUUAACCUUGUGCCCAUUUUCAAUUCCGCAAUUGCAUCUCAUCCUCACCAUAUCUUGUUUUUCAUCUUUUUCCCUGUGAAGUGAACCUUCACACUUACUUAACCACUUGAUUAAGUUUGUGUCUAGUGGCAAUCUUCCUUAGGUCCUCACCAUUAAUUGUUAAAAUCCCAACCUUAAGUAAAAGUGUCACCAUAAAUGAAAACAUCUAAAAUAAACUCAUAUCACUUAAUGAGUCUUCCGAAAGAGAAUAAAUACAUAUGUUAUCACUAAUUGAAAAGAAGUCAAAAGGGUAUUGGAAACUAAAAGGAAAUUAAGGUAUCGUGAAACAAAUGGAUUUAUGUGGCCCAAAUUUGAUUAAUGAGUCUUUUGGAAGACGAAAGAUUCAUAUGCAAUCAUUAUGAUUGACCCGAAAUAAAGGGUACUUAGGGUUGAAAGGAAAUCAAGGUAUUAUGAGGCAAAUGAAUAUAUGUCAGGUCAGUACGAUUGAAAUGAAAUCAAACUACAGUGGAUUGAAAUAAAAUCGAAUUAUUGUGAUUGAUAUUUGGAUUUUGUAUGACUGUGUUUCAAGAAAAAGGGAACAAAAUUAAUUAUGAAUUACUAAUCAAAUUAGUUAUUUUGCUUAUAUUUUUGCGUGUAAAAACAUUAUUUUGAUAGCUUACCCUUACAUGUGUUGUUUGUGUAUGAACUACCACUGCUGCAGAAAAGCAAAACGAGUGCGACUAUUUUACAUUUAUAAGGGCGGCUAUAUAACCACAUUUGAUGAGCACGCAUUUGUAAAUCAAAGAGAUAAGAAGACGGCUAUAUAGCCACAUUCGAAAAUUCGAUUUAUAAAUGUGGCUAUUUACAUAGCCGUAUUUAUAAAUCGCAUUUACGAGAAGCGUUUAAGGUUUCUUUCCUCGUCGUUAUUGAUUGGGUUUCUAAUCAAAGUUCUUUUCCGAAGAACAUUGUCAUUAUUUUUAGCAUUUCUUUCAAUCUCUUGGUGCAUUUAUAUUAUAUCUCUUUGUAUUUCAUCCCAAUGGAAGUCCAAAAAACAAAAAUAAAAAUUCUCCAAUNNNNNNNNNNNNNNNNNNNNNNNNNNNNNNNNNNNNNNNNNNNNNNNNNNNNNNNNNNNNNNNNNNNNNNNNNNNNNNNNNNNNCCUUAACAAUGGCAUAAGAAAACAUAAGAGAAACGCAAAACAUAUAAAAAUCAAUGGUGAAGAAGAAGAGAGGAAGACAAUGCUUACCGAUAGCACGAAAACAAUGCAAAGAAGAGAGGAAGAAAAGAAUGGAGGAAGCACAUAAGAGAAACGAAACGCGAGGGUAAGAAGAGUAUCAAAAUGUAAGUGGUGCGUUUUGAAUUAGGUUAAAAAGGUUUUAAGAAGGCGGCUAUUUAUAAAGCCGCAUUCGUAAAUCAAAAGUUUUUAUUUACAAGGGCGGCUAUACAAAUAGUCGCCCUUGUAAAUCAAGCGUUUUGAUUUACAAGGACGGCUAUACAAAUAGCCGCCCUCGUAAAUAAGGGCGGCUGUACAAAUAGCCGCCCCUUGUAAAUCCAAACGCUUGAUUUACAAGGCUUUACUAAUAACCGCACUUGUAAAUGAACUUAAUUACAAAAAUGUCACCGCGUUUUUAACGGAGUGGUUGAGCGCAAAGCCGCACUAAAUAAACCACACCUGUUUAUACAUUUUGCACUAGUGUACUAUGAUUGUACUAUGUACAAAAACAGAUGAUCAUACAGGUGCAAGAGAGUAUGAAAGGUUUUAGAUUAUUUUGAACUAUGAAUUUGUAAAUAUAUUUAUAUUUUUAUAAGUCUUAAUCAUGUAUUAAAAAUAUUUUAAAAAAUUCCAAACUUAUAAUGUAAAGAACUUGUAUUAUAAUAAUUAAAUAUAUUUUUGAGUUCAUCUCACCCGUUCACAAAAUAUAUAUAUAUAUGAAUGUCAAGCCGCCAUUCACUGUUAACAUUUAAAGGUUAUUAUUAUUUUAUUUUAACUUUGAUUAUAUACUUCCUUUUCCUAAGUAAUAGAGAAAAACCUGUUUUUAACUUAUCCAACUUCCAAAAAAGAUAAGUAAAGAAAUAUUUCGAACAUCUUUAAAUAAAACUAUAAAGAUUUUAUAAAUUAAAAUGAGAUUAUAGAAACUAAAAUUUUAAAAAUAGUAUUUAAAUAAAUUUUAUAAAUUAAUUCGUAAAUAAAUUAAUGCUAGUCCUAAUUUAUAAAAGAAAUCAUUUUGUUUUAUUUAUAUUUUAAAAUCUUCUAUGAAAGUUCAUUAUUGUAAAUAACAGAAAAAUGAAUGAAAAAAAAGGAUAAUGAUCUAUAUGAAAUAUUUUUUAGAAUAAUGUUAAAGUAUAUUUAUUGUGUCAACAUAUUCUAGAUAGAAGCCUAACAUUUAAUAUCAUGAUAAGUUCCUUUCCUAUAUAUCUUGGUACAAUGUUGACUUUUUACACCAUCAAAAUACAAAUCCACCAAACUUCUUACAGAUUCGAUUCAUUAGUUUCUUGUAGUUUCUACAUACAUUUCUCAUCAGCGACAACUUCGUUGUUGUUUACUUUUCAACUCCUCACAGCUAUAUAUAUGUGUGUUUAAUAAACACAAACCACUCAUCACACACAUAUACAAGUGAAUAUUCACUAACUAUAAGCCAUGGAGAAGAAAUCAUUUGCUGGAUUAUGCUUCCUCUUCCUUGUUCUCUUUGUUGCUCGUGAGUCACUACAAUUAUGUUUAUUUUUCUGCAUGUCUAUAACUUUAAUCAUUCUCCUUCCAUCCUAUAACUGUGUAUUUACAUACUCAGUGUAACUUUUAGUUUUCUACAAGAUUAAAGUACUGUUU